CUCGCGAGAAUCUCGUGGCUGGCUAGCAGGAGCUAUAGCUCUGCAAUGACUUAAGGGCAGUUUUGUGCGCUCUUCCUGAUGGGGGCCCGCCCCCAAACCCACAAAUUCUCGCGAGAUGCAAUAGGCACCGGCUCGAGUUGGGGCGGGCUGUCUCCUGGAAGCACCGCCCCUGAAUGCUUAUAUUGGUGGGAGGGAGAGGAAAUGGAAUUCCCCGGACUGGUUAGAGCGCGCGCCGACACAUCCGUCUUUCACGCGCCCAAUCGGGAAUGUGCAGUGGGAGGUACCACGGUCUAAUUACUAGAUGCCUUUAGUCCUGGUUGAUCCGGGGUUUUGAAGUUUUCGGUUAAGCAGAUCCACAGAGUUGCAGAACUCAAGAGAUCAGAGUUUUGGGUCAGAAAAACUUGUUACUUAACUGAAAUAUCCGGGCGGGGCAGAAAUAGAAGGAUGGAAUUGGCCUGUUUUAAUCUGCCGGAUGUAAAAUAUGGAGAGGGUGGUUUGGCUCUCUGUGUAUCCUUCAGGCAAAGGGUAGUACGACAUUAAUUUUUAAAAGGAAUAAAGAAGUUAUACAAGAGUGGUAGGAAACAUCGCUCCCUACCCAAAGGGAACUCACCAUAUCCAGGAGGUCCAUAAAGAAAAGUCCGAGAUAAGCCAAUUUGUAUUACCCUAAUCUAAACAAGCUUCAGUAUGAAAAGUAUAAUGGAACAUGUUAAUGCUCUUAAUUAACAAUGCACAGCAGACUGGGACAAAUUUGAGGUCAGAGUUUUUAACUUUUGUGCCACAGACUACUUUGGCAGUCUGGUGAAGCCAUGGACUCUUCUAAGAAUGUUUCUAAAUGUAUAAAAUAAAAUUCAUAGCAAUAGUUAUAAUGUGAUACAAAGUAUCUCAUUCCUAGUGGUGAUACAGACAUAGGUAUAGCUGUUUGUUGCUUACAUUCAAAAUUGAAGGAAAUGCUAAAUUUCAGUUAGAGAUUAGUAAAAAUAAAGAUGUAUUUUUUUUUUCUCCCAUCCAAGUUCACAUACUCCCUGGAUUCUAUCCAUGAACUUCAUGAUAAAAAAUUUCAGGUAAAGUCUAGUGGGCUUAUUCCUCUUAGUAAGCCUUGAGGGGAUUGUGAAAUAUUAACAUACAGUUAUAAUUUAUAUCCAUAACAAUAGUGAUUCAUUAAAAAAAAGUUUAAUUACUACCAGUAUACUCUCAUUAAGAAUGCGUGGAAGUACAUAACAGUAUUAGGAAAUAGUUGUAUCCAAUUUGUUGAUUUUAUUUAUUUAUUUUUUAAACUAUAUCUAUAAUCAUACCCUAUGGAAAACUUUCCUAUCCAGAUGACUCAUUUCCCAAGCGUUCUGGUAACUUAUGUUUUACUAUAUCAUUCUUAUUUAUUACAUGCCUUUGCAAAUAAGAUGUGGUGGAAGAACUGCAAAAUGAAAAUAAUAGCCAAAGAUUAAAUUAAAAUAUUGUAUAAAUUUCUUAAUAAGUGUUAAUAAUUAUUAUUUGAAGUACUAUGUGUGGGGUCUUUUAAUUCAUUAUCUUAUCACAUCUCCAUUACAUAGAUAAAACACUCAAGAUCUGAAAAUUAUUAACUGGUAGAGUAAGGAUUUAAACCUAGGCAGUAUGAUCUCAAAGCUCACACUCAACCAGUAAGCUGUUUGAUUAUUUUUUAGUCCUUUGACUAAUAGCCAAUAUUAAUUUGCCUAAUAGUGCAACAAGUAUAUAUUUGCUGCCUCAAUUAUGCAUUUCUUAGUAUUCCAAGUAGAAUUGCACCCAGUGACUGAAAGGAAUUUUUUAAAUUCUUCCUUUGCAGCAAUAUUGCUUAUAAGAUCCAACACCACCUUUAAGUAAGUGGGUGACCAUUUGGGGCUGGAAAAUUGUUUUGCAGAGAUUUUUGUUGCAAUGGAGUUUUGCUUAGAAAAAUCCACUUAUGCCUUUCCCUGCCCUACAGACAUACUUUCUCAUCUGAAAUUAAACCUGUUUUAUAAUGGUGCCACUAUAUUUUUAUGUUGACCACUGUCAAGAUUGUAUACAAGAAAUGAUGACAUAUAAAUAAAUGCUAAUAUAUGAAAGUCUAGAUUAUAUAUGCCUGGAGACAAGUGAUUGUGUAAUCCCAAUUUUUUAUUUGGCACUGAAGUGAAUUUAUUGGUUGAUUACACCUUCUAUUUAUUUGCUUGUAGUUACACUAGCAAACUUAACAAUUUUACUCAAUUUUGUUAGGGGUAAAAUUAAAAGGAACAUGACCUAGAAGCAUUUGAUGCUUUAGGGCAGCCUAGGGUUAGCUGAAAAUUUAAAACACUAUUUACAUAUCUAGUGUUAGACUCACUUUACAGUUGCAUAUAAGGUUAAAAUUGACUUUCAUUAAUUUGACUAUUUGAAUUACAGUGGUUGAAAUGUCUCUAUCUGAUAAAAAGGAAAGACAUGUUUUUUAUAUUACAGUCUUACAAAGGGCUAAAAAGAUUUUAUAUAUGAAAAAACAUUGACAUUCAAAAAUUAAUACAGAUACAAAAAUGUUGAAAAGAUGAGUUUUAAAAAAUCCUUCUUAGUGAAUAUUGAAGUCUCAAAAACUUUCUAGUUAUGGUAGAUCAGAUCUUGCGUGAAUUGAUGUAAAACACAAGAAAAAUAUAAAGAAUCAAGAAGAUUAGUAUAAAAGUGGCAAUGAAGUAAGUAAUAAAUAACUAAUGAAAAUGUGUCAAAGUCCUAAUGUUAUGUGAACAUAUCAGCAAAGCCACAUAAUUAUAAAAACCUUAGUGCUGGGGUUAAUUAAAAUGUACUUGUGAAUAAAUACAGUUAACAUAGAUUGAUAUGUAUACUUAGGUUUAUGGAGUCCGUAUUGUCAGAUCUUUGUAACUUUGUCAUGGAAUUUUAUAACUUGCUAAGGAUACUGGCUUGCUAGGAUACUGGCUCUAACACACUGUAUGCCAUUUUAUUAGUUUAAUUAAAUUGUAAAUGCUGUGGUCCAGAAUCUAUGCUUACAUAUGCUGCUUGGAAUAGGUAAUUUAGAACCCAGGUCAACCAGUAUUUCAUAUUGUUUGCAUAAAAGUUAUAUUAUUCCUUCUCUAUACUUUACCAGUUUAGAAUCUCAUUUUAUGAUCAAGACAAGUUAAUGUGGUUUAGGGAACUGUAUUUGUGCUAAGAACAUCAUUUUGACCUUACAUUAAGAUGGCUUUUGGUACAUAAUGAACCAUGCACAAAUGUUUGAGCUAAAAAUAAAUUUGAGCAUUUUCCCAUAAAAACCUGUAUACAUGAAUGUUCAGAGUAACAUUCAUAAUAGCUAAAAAGUGGAAAGAACUAAAUGUCCAUCAGCUGAUAAAUGGAUAAAUAAAAUGUGAUAUAUCCAUAUGAUGGAAUAGUAUUAGUUAAUAAGAAAAUAUGAAAUACUGAUACAUGUAUCUUGAAGCUUGAAAAUAUUCUAAGUGAAAAAACCCAGACACAAAGGCCACAUGUUUCAUUCCAUUUAUAGGAAAUGGCUAGAAUAGGCAAAUCCAUAGAGACAGAAAGGAGAUGACUGGCUGCCAGGGAUAGGGGCAGGGAGAAUGGGAAGUGAUUGCUAAAUGAGUAUGGGGUCUUUUGGGGGGAGAUGGUGAAAUGUGCUACAUUGAGAUAAUGGUGAUGGUUGCAGAACUCUACAGAUACACUAAAACCCCCUGAAUUGCACACUUUGAAAGAAUUUUAUGGUAUGUGAAUUAUCUCAGAGUUUUAAAAAAAAAAGUUAAUUAGAACCAAAUAUGAAAUCAACCUGAAGCUUAUUACUAUUUUCAAUAUCUCAACAUUCUCAGAUUACUGAUGAUAAAUGAGAUGCGGCAUCCUUGUAAAAUGAAAAAUUUACAGCCAGCAGUAGGUUUUCCUUCAAUACAAACAGUAUAAUUAAUCCAGAUUAGAUUUUAAUACAACAGUAAGCCUUUGCUAUCUGUUAGGCUUUUUUUUUUUUUUAAAGAUUUUGUUUAUUUAUUUGACAGACAGAGAGACACAGCGCGAGAGAGAACACAAGCAGGGGGAGUGGGAGAGGGAGAAGCAGGCUUCCUGCGGAGCAGGGAGCCCGAUGCGGGGCUCGAUCCCAGGACCCUGGGACCAUGACCUGAGCCGAAGGCAGACGGUUAACGACUGAGCCACCCAGGCGCCUAGUUAGUUUUUAAUUUGGGGGUAUUUUCACCAAUCUUAUUUAAUGAAUAAAACAUAGUGAUUAAAAUUAAUUUUAAGUAGCACUGUAUUUCACUUGAAAAUAAAAGUUUGAGAGUAUGGCCAGAAAUAGAAUACAUCCAAUUACAAAUAGUCUAAACAGAUAAAAACUUUUCUUUAAAAUUUCAAAUGAAAUCAAGUUAGGUUGAAAAUCAUGGAUAAAUCAUCUAGAUAAGGAUUUUGAGGAUUAGGUAGUGUCAAAUGAGAAAAACAAUGUAGUAACAAGUUUGAUGUCUUUUAUUGAAGGGAAACAAUCCAUCUAUUGGGGGAGCAUACUACCUAACAAACAGUAGAACACUCUUUUCAGGGGAUUUUGGACAGGAGCGGGUUGUACAGAGCAUUAGAAGCAGUAAGAUGGUAGCAGUAGGAUUGGCUAGGAGGCCAGGGAUUUCCUUGUAAGGCUAACAGGUCCUGUGUUUUAGGGUAAGGUAACCUAGCUAAAGCUGAGUUGAAGGAUUGUGAUUGGUGUAUGCUAGGUUUCCCUAGCAGGUGUUUUCCAUAAGCUCUGGCUGAUUUACGUUUAGGUUUGUGAUGCGGGCCUGGCCACUGAGGUGGCCUCAGUUUUGUGGAUCCCAGUAUACAAAUUAACUUUAUCAGUACUUAACUAAAAAAUAAAUACUUUGAAUUAAUAUUACUUUCCAACAAUAGAUAUAAUCUUUGUUGCUUCAAUAACAAUGUAAAAAAGUCCAAAGGAAACAUAUUGUGAUUUAGACCAGAUAUGGAUCAUUGUUUUACCAAUACUGGAUUUGAUUAUUUAAAUAUAUCUAUGUGAGAAUUCUUUAGUAAAUUAAUAAGUUCUUUUAUUAAAGAAUUGUAAGUUAGGAGUGAUGGGAAUGCUGUACAUAGUGGUUCUGAAGGAUCUGAUCUAUAUAGUAUCUAAGUAAAUGGAGGCACUAUGUGAGACUUUUUUUUUUCUCAAUAUUUAUUAGAGUGUAUAUGCUCUAAUAAAGGGGGGAGGGGCAGGAGGAGAGGGAGAAUGAGUUUUAAGCAGACUCCAUGGUGAUUGUAGAGCCCAUGUGGGGCUUAACCUCAGGACCUGAGAUCAUGACCUGAGCCUAAACCAACAGUCAGAUGCCUAACUCACUGUGCCAGUUUUUGAUACACAGUAUUUGGUACCUGUUGAUUUUUUUCACUGCACAAAAGCAGUAAUUUUAACACACGGCACUAAAAGAAUGAAACUAAGAAACAUUUCACUACAUCUAAAAAAACCUUAACGAAUUUGACUUAUUUGGUGUUGAAGAAAUGUGACAGUUUCAGAGAUAUCCCAUCAUCAAAACAUAUUAAAUCCUAAAAGUUAACGAUUAAUAAUGAGAUUGGUCUUUACCCUAUAUAUACUUGGUAAGAGAACAGUAUGAUACAGGUUCUCCACCUUACAAAAAGACCCGUACAAAAAUGGAGAAUCUUGGGUGCUACAAUACUUGAAAUUCAGCUCUCCGAGAAUACUUUCAACAAAACCCCCUGAGAUUUAAGAUAUAAUUAGAUAGUCACAGAUUUUUGUGAAUUUAACUUUUCCUUAUUUUCCUUCUUUCUAUUCUGCAAUAAUGGAGAGAAGGAGAUUACCCUGGAGCAUUUUAGGGAUAAGGCUUAAUUCCUACUCCUGGCUUGGAUAGGGCUAUAAUUAGGGACAAAAGGUAAGGACAUCGGAGACUACACGGAAAGGUGUGCAGGAAGAAGCGGGAAGAAAAAUGUCAAAGGCAAAACUAUUCUUAAGGAAACAAGGAAUAAGGAGGAUAUUUUUUUCUUCCCCCUCUUUGCUCAAGCACUAGAAGAUCUACUCUUGAGCAUAGAAUUCAGGCUACCACCAUUAUGGUGGUUCAGUUUUACACAACUUGAUUGCCAUUUCUAUACUUGCUAACUUGAAAUUUAGUCACUAUAACAUUGUUCACAUAUGAUAGUGCAUUCUGCCUUCCAAAAAAGCCUCCUUAUUUAUGGCUUUUAAAAACAUCCAUUUAUAAUAUGGGACUGCUUUUGAUGUAGGUUGAGGCAGAAUCAAAGAGACUCAUACAGUUUGUCAGUCAGUGAUAUUUGCGUCUAACUAGGCCAAGUGGAAGUUUCUCCCUAAGUGAAGGUUUAGGCUGAAGAAUGUUAAUGUAAUAGAGACCUAUUGAUAUAAUUACACCCAUCUUCCUAAAAAAAUAUAAUGAAUGCCUUUUAUAUGCAAGGCAUUGAGCUAGAUGCUGAAGAUACAUAAAUGAAAGACCCAGAUGUCACCUUUAAGAAAGUCUUUUAAUUGGGAAGACCAUUAAGGAUCAGACAAUCACAGUAAUGUGAUGACAUAAAUGCAUGCAUAGAGUAAUAUUAAGGUACUUAAUUUAGCUGGGGGUGCUCAGGGCAAGUUUCUAUAUGGAAGAGAGCUGUCUUUAAAGAAAUGAAAGAAAGGCAUAGCUGGUGGGGGGCGGGGGAAAGGAGGAAGCUUCCUAGGCAGAGGGAACAACGCAAAGACUUAGAGAACUUGACCUGGUAAGUUUUGGAAACCACAGGUUUGGCAAGUACUUUGGAUUGCAGUUGGGGAGUAGAGGAGGGCAGAGGAAAGAAUGAAUGAGAAGAGACAAAACAGUUGAAAGACAAGGCUGGAUAUAUUGAGGGCCUUAACAUGCCAUGGUAAUGAGUUCAGAUUUUAUUCUGAAGGGUAUGGGAUGGGAGAAUUGAAUUUUAACAUAAAGUCUUGACCAGACUUUAAUCACAAGAAGAUAACUAUGUGAUAGCAGUAUGGAAGAUGUAACUGAAGUGUGUGUUAGAGUGGAGACUAGAAGCAAAGAGACCACUUGGGAUGCUAUUGAAUAGUUGAGAUGUGAUUGUGAGAAAGACCUAGAAUAGUUGCAGUACUUGCACUAAAGACCAUAGUAUGUUUAGUGUAUUUACUGGGUAGAGUUUAUGUUAAAAAUUUUUCUGAGGAUCCUCCAGUUAUUUUUAUUAGAAUAUUAUAAUAAAAUCAUGUGUAAAAAAACAUUCCAAUAAGCUAUAACAUUGUAAUAAAAAUAGGUUAAGACCUAAUACUUGGUAUUAACUCUUUAUGCUCUCACCUCUUGAAGAACCUUAAAACUAAAGUUUAUAAAAUGUAGAAAAAUAUAAACUAAUAAAAUUAAUAUCUGUGUGUAACCUGCGUGCUACUUAAGUUUUUUUACUUUUUACAAAUUACCUCUUGAAACGUAAAUACAGAACUAACUGCCACAAUUUAGGUUCUUCUAAAUUUGGAAUGUCUGUACUAACUGGUUGUGUUCCAUAUAUGAUGACCAGUUUUCUUUACUAAACCUUUAAGAGACCUUUGUUCAUUCUUUCACUGAUGUUAUUUGGCUUUCACAUGGCCAGAAAGAAGUGUUUAUUAUCUAUUUCUUUUCUCAUUUGCCUAAGAGAGUGCUGUUACACAGUACCAACAAGAUCAUAAACCUAAACACAACACAAGGCUCUGGAAUCACAUGGCAGUAUUUAGUUAUAGGUGGCAAUUAUGGUGAUUUAGACUAUGAUUGUAUUAGGGAUUAAUGAAAUAAAUCACAAAAUGGGAAAAAAUCUGGUAAAGAAUUCAAAGAUUCUAGUUUGAGAAACACUGAUGUAGAGGUUAUAAAAAACCUUUUGUCACAUACCUGAAGUCAUAUUUGUUGAGUCUUGACUUUGUGACUCUGAGUAGAGUCAAGAAAUGGUAGGCAGGUAGGACAGGUAAGUAACUUGACUCUAAAGUUAAAGUAAAGUGGGGGGGAAGGGCUUAGGUGCAUUUUAAGGUUCAUUCCUAUUCUGGAGCUAAAAACAUAGUAUCUACUGGGAAAGUAAUUCUGUCUCCAGGUCAGCCCACAAAGGGCUGUUCUCUAAAUCCAACCUCUCUGUGUUUCAUGUUACUAUGAGAAAAUACUCCUUAGAAUUUCCAGUUGAUACAGCAGGAAUGAGCUCUGCCCAUCAGAAUGAGGCAUCCUACCUUUCUGUUUUGUUAGUGAGAAAUUCUCCUACCUUCAAGUAACAGGAAUUUAUUAUUUCCUGUAACUUAGGGCAAGAACUCAAGCAGAGCAGGAAUAAUUGGACUGAGGGUAAAAUCAUAUUGGGUGGUCAGAUAAAAGCUUUAGAAAGUUGGAGAUUGGUGGCCAAGGAAUCUGUAUAUUUAACCUUAGAUGUCACUCUGUGGUUUAGGUCGGCUCUGGGACCCCCUUCUUUUCUUUUUUAGUGCCAGAUUGGUUCACCCAUGUUCCUCUCUCCUGCCAUUACCAGUUGCUUCCUAACAGAAACCAACAAGCUUUCUUUUCUAUCCUGCUAACUAGGCAAGUAUACAACCUCACAGAAUACAGAAGAAGAAUACAAUUCUUUUUUUCCUUAUACUUUUGUUCCUAAAGCAAGUCUGUACCCUGUUAAGUUUUCAUAAGGGUUUUAAUUUCUGGUGAUAGUAUGUUAGUAUUUAUAUAUGAUUAUAAGCAAGCUCCUGGUAGUAUGAAGGUCAGCAAGAGAGUAGUUGCAGUGAUACAAAGAACUCUUAUUUGAUCCUGGUUUCCUUCCUGUCAUCACUUCCAAGCCCCCACUCAACAGAUCAGACUCAAUAGAAAAAAAUCACAAGAUUCAACUGUACUUUAAAGGAAAAUUAGAAAUGGUUUCUGUAAUACUCUUGAUAUAACAAAUUAGUAUAAAUUCAGUGACUUAAGACAACAGUUAUCUUAGAUAUUUGGAGCUCGGAAGUCUGAAAUGGGUCCUACUGGUGUAAAAUCAAGGUAUAAGCAGGAUUGGUUCCUUUCUGGAGGUUUGGGGCAGAAUCUCUGUUCUUGCCCUUUCCAGCUUUAAGAGGCUGCUAGCACCGUGGCUCAUGAUCCCCUUCCAUCUUCAAAGCCAGAAAUGGCUGGUUGAAUCUUUCUCAUAUCACGUCACUCUGACACACUUGCCGGCCUCCUUUCAUUUAUAAGGAUCUUUGUGAUUAUAUUGGGCCCGCAUGGAUAAUCCAGGAAAAUCUACCCAUGUGAAGGCCAGAGGAUUAGCUACCUUAAUUCCAUCCACAAUCUUAAUUCCCCCUUGCUAUGUAACAUAAUAUAUUCAUGGGUUCCAGGGACUGAGAUACAGACAUCUUCGGUGGGGGUGGAAGAUCAAGGGGAGACAUUAUUCUGGCUACCACAGCUAUUUAUAAUUCUUUGGGUACUCUUGAGUUUAAGAGCAACUUUUUUCCUUCCAUCAGUUCUCAUUUUAUUCAUUCAAAAUAUAUUUGACUACCUCCUCAAAAUAUCAAGUGUGAAAUGGUAUAGAAAUUUAAAUAUACUAAGGAUUAGAAACUUGUCAACUAAAUUUUGUCACUGAUGAGUCAGAAUUUUAUUGAGAUAGUGUUGACAGAAUUUAAAUUUAAGCACAUUGGGGAGUGAAUGGAAAGUGAAAAAAUGCAGAGCUUGGUCAUGAUAGGAAGUUAGAAGAUAGGGAAUUAGCUUAGAGUAAUUCAGGGUCAAAGGAGGGUUAUUAUUAUUUUUUUUUAGAAUGGGAGAGAUUGAGUAUAUUUAUAGUCUAGAGGAAAUUGUGAGAGAGAUGAGAUACAGAACAGAGAUGAAUAGAUGGAGUCAUUUUCCUCACAAGAUGUGACUGUAGGUCAAAAAUAAGAGUAUUUGAUUUUGAACAAUGGGGAAACAGACAGUAGAAGGAAUAAGAUUAGAAUGGGUAAAAAUGAAGAUAAUUUUAAGUAAGAGGCAGAAAGUUGACCAUUAAUACUCAAUUUUUUCAACUUAAUUAAUUGGAAGGAGUGCUUUAUCUAUUCAUCUGUUGAGGAACGCUCAGGUUGCUUCUGUAUCUUGGCUCUUGUAAAUAAUGCUACAAUAAAUAAAGGGUUGCAUAAUCUUUUCAAAUUAGUGUUUUCAUUUUCUUGGGUAAAUACCCAGAAGUGGAAUUACUGAGUCAUACGGUAUUUCUGUUUUUAAUUUUUGGAGAAAUCUCCAUACUGUUUUCCAUAGUUGUUACACCAGUUUACAUUUCCACCAAGAAAGCAUGAGGGUUACCUUUUUUCCACAUCUUUGUCAAUGCUUAUUAUUUCUUGUCUUUUGAUACUAGCCAUUCUGACCACUUUGAAGUAAUAGCUCAUUGUGGUUUUAAAUUUGCAUUUCCCUGAUGAUUAUUGAUGUUGAGCAUCUUUUCAUGUGUCUGUUGGCCAUCUGUAUGUCUUCUUUGGAAAAAUGUCUAUUCAGGUCCUCUAUUUUUAAAUUGUAUUAUUAUCGGGGCACCUGGGUGGCUCAGUUGUUAAGCGUCUGCCUUUGGCUCAGGUCAUGAUCCCAGGGUCCUGGGAUAGAGCCCCGCAUCGGGCUCCCUGCUCUGCAGGAAGCCUGCUACUCCCUCUCCCACUCCCCCUGCUUGUGUUCCCUCUCACGCUGUGGCUCUCUCUGUCAAAUAAAUAAAUAAAAUCUUAAGUUGUAUGAGUUUUUUAAGUAUAUUUUGGAUAUUAGCCCCUUAGCACAUAUGUCAUUUGUAAAUGUCUUCUCCCAUUCUGUAGGUUGCCUUUUUGUUGUGUUGGUGGUUUCCUUUGCUCUACAAAAGCUUUUUAGUUUGAUGUAGUACAAAUUGUUUAUUUUUGCUUUUGUUUCCCUUGCCUGAGGAGACAUAUCCAGAAAAAUAUUGCUUAAGUCCAAGAGUUUACUGCCUAUGGUUUCUUUUAGGAGUUUUGUGAUUUCAGGUCUUACAUUUAGGUCUUUAAUCCAUUUUGCAUUUAUUUGUAUAAUGUAAGAAAGUGGUCUUAGUUGCAUUCUUUUGCAUUUAGCUAUCCAGUUUUCUCAACACCAUUUACUGAGGAGACUGUUUUUUCCCCAAUGUGUAUUUUUGCCUUCUUUGUUGUAGAUAAUUGACCAUGUAACUGUGGAUUUAUUUCUGGGCUCUCUAUUCUGCUCUAUUGAUUUCUGUGUUUUUGUGCCAGUACCAUACUAUUUUGAUUACUAUAUCUUUGUAGUACAGUUUGAAAUCUGGAUUGUCAAUACUUCCAGCUUUGUUCUUUCUCAGAAUUGCUUUGGCUAUUUGAGGUCUUUUGUCAUUACACUCAAAUUUAAGAAUUAUUUGUUCUAGUUCUGUUAACAGUACUAAUGGUAUUUUGAUAGGGAUCGCAUUGAAUCUGUAGGUUGCUUUGGGUAGUAUGGAAGUUUUAACAAUAUUCUUCCAAUCCAUGAUCACAGAACAUCUUUCAUUUGUGUCGUCUCCAGUUUCUUUCCUGAUGUCUUAUAGUUUGUAGGGUACAGUUCUUUUGCCUCCUUGGUUACAUUUAUUCCUAGGUAAUUCUUUUUUGAUGCAGUUGUCAAUGGGAUUGUUUUCUUAAUUUCUCUUUCUUGUAGUUUGUUCUUAGUGUAUAGAAAUGCAACAGAUUUCUGUAUAUUGGUUCUUUAUUUAGAAAAUUUACUGAAUCCAUUCAUUGGUUCUAAUAGUUUUUUGGUGGAGUCUUUAGGGUUUCCCAUAUAUGGUAUCAUGUCACCUGCAAAUAGUGAAAGUUUUACUUCUUCUUUACCAAUUGGGAUGCCUUUUAUUUCUUUUUCUUGUCUGAUUGCUGUGGCUAAGACUUCUAGUACUGUGUUGAAUAAAUGUGGUGAGUGGACAUCCUUGUCUUGUUCCUGAUUUUAGAGGAAUGCUUUUAGCUUUUCACUGCUGAGUAUGAUGUUAGCUGUGGAUUUGUCCUAUAUGGCCUUUAUUAUGUUGAAGUACAUUCUUUCUAAACCCACUUUGUAGAGAGGUUUUAUAAUGAACAGUUGUUGAGUUUUGUGCAGGGCUUUUUCUGCAUUUUUGGAGAUGAUCAUAUGAUUGUUAUCCUUCAUUUUGUUAAUGUAGUGUAUCACAUUGGUUGAUUUGAAGGUGUUGAAUUAUCCUUGCAUCGCCAAAAUAAAUCCCAUUUGAUUGUGGUGAAUGAUCCUUUUAACAUAUUGUUGAAUUUGGUUUGCUGAAUUUUGUUGAGGAUUUUUGCAUCUCCUUUCAUCAGGGAUAUUGGUAUAUAAUUUUCUUUUUUUGCAGUGUCUUUGGUUUUGAUAUCAGGAUAAUCCUGGCUUCACAGAAUAAAUUUGGAAGCAUUCCUUCCUCAUCUAUUUUUUGGAAUAGUUUGAGAAGGAUAGGUAUCAGUUCUCUAAAUGUUUGGUAGAAUUCACCUCUGAACCUGUCUGGUCCUAUACUUUUGUUUGUUGGGAGUUGUUUUUUUUUUUUUUUUAAAGAUUUUAUUUAUUUAUUUGAGAGAGAGAGAAUGACAGAGAGAGAACACCUGAGAGGGGAUAGGGUCAGAGGACGAAGCAGACUCCCUGCCGAGCAGGAAGCCCGAUGCAGGACCCGAUCCAGGGACUCCAGGAUCAUGACCUGAGCCGAAGGCAGUUGCUUAACCAACUGAGCCACCCAGGCGCCCUGUUGGGAGUUUUUUGAUUACUGAUUCCAUUUUGGUACUAGUAAUCAGUCUGUUCAGAUCUAAUUCUUCCUGAUUCAGUCUCCAGAUUUUGUAUGUUUCUAGGAAUUUAUCUAUUUCUUCUAGGUUGUCCAAAUCUCAUAUUCCUUUGUAUUUCUGUGUCAGUUGUAACAUCUCCUCCUUUGUUUCUGGUAUUUUUUUAGAGGGAGGGGGGAAGGGCAGAAGGAAAGGGAGAAAGAGAAUCUUAAGCAGGCUCCACACCUAGCACAGAGCCUGAUGUGGAGCUCAAUCUCACAACCCUGAGAUCAUGACCUGAGUCAAAAUCAAGAGUUGGACACUUAACCCACUGAGCCAUCCAAGCUCAAUUCUUUCUCUUCUUUUGUUGAUGAGUCUGGCUAAAGGUUUAUCAAUUUUGUUUUUUCAAAGAACCAGCUCUUUCUUUAUAAUUAAUUGAUCUACUAUCAUUACCAUGUGCUUGCUUUUAUAGGUGGAAUUUUUUCCUUUUAUAAAGUUUUCUUCUAGUUAUGGCCUUUCCAUUUUUGCUUAUGGACUUCCCUUUAAUAUUUCUUGUAAGGCUGGUUUAACAGUGCUGAACUUUGUUUAUCUGGGAAACUUUUUAUCUCUCCUUCAAUUCUGAAUGAUAACCUUGCCCAGUAUUCUUGGUUGUAGAUUUUUUCCUUUGAGCACUUUGAAUAGAUCAUGCCACUCUCUUCUGGCUUGUAAACUUCCUGCUGACAAAUUAGGUGAUAGCCUUAUGGUGUUUCCCUUGUAUGUAACUAUUUGCUCUUGCUGCUUUUAAGAUUCUUUAUCUUUAAUUUUGGACAUUUUAAUUAUUAUAUAUCUUGGUGUGGACUGCCUUGGGCUCACUUAUUUGGGGCUCUCUGUGUAGCCUAGACCAGGAUGUCUGUUUUCAUCCCCUUAAAUAACUUACGGAGGUUUUUAGCUAUUUUCUCAAAUAAGUUUUCUGCCCUUUUCUCUUCUCCUUCUGGGACCCUAUAAUAUGAGUGUUAGUAUGCUUGAUGUUGUCCCAGAAGUCCCUUAACCUAUCCUUAUUAUUUGUUUUUUAAUUUUCUUUUGUUUUUACUAUUAGGCUUGGGUGCUUUCCAUUACCCUGUCUUCCAGAUCACUGCUCCAUUCUUCUGCAUUCUCUAAUUUCCUAUUGAUUCUCUCUAGUGUAUUUUUCAUUUCAGCUAUUGUAUUCUUCAGCUCUGAUUCUUUUUUAUAUUUUCUCUCUCUUUGUUGAAGUUCUCACUGAGCUCGUAUGCUUCUCUCAAAUCUGGUUAACAUCUUAAUGACCGUUACCUUGUACUCUUUAUCAGAUAGAUUCCUUAUCUCUUUCAUAGUUCUCUUUCUGAGGUUUUGUCUUGUUCUUUUGUUUGGAACAUACUCUUCUGUCUCCUGAUUUUGUCUGACUCUGUAUUGUUUCUGUAUAUGGGUAGGUCAGGUCUCCUGAUGUUGAAAGUAACGGCCUUAUGUAGAAGGUGUCCCAUGGGGCCCAGUAUCACAGUCCUCUGUGGUCACCAGAACCAGGUACUUCCAACGGUAUCUCCUGUCUGGGCUGCAUGCACCUUCCUGUUGUGACUGGGCAUGAUUGCUGCAGGCAUACUGGUGGGCAGAUCUGGCCUCCAGCCUAGGUAGCUGCAGUGAUUAGCCAUGACUACUGUGGGCAUACUGGUGGGCAGGGCUGGACCCCUGUGCAGCUAAGAGAUCUGGCUGUAGUGGGUGUGCUGGUGGAUGGGUUUAGCUCCCAGUGUAGCUGGCUAAGAGUCUUAGCUACAACUGCUGUGGGCAUGCUGGUGGGUGAGGCUAGCACCACCCCCCUCCCUGGGGCAGGAGUUGCUCUGGAGGUGCACUGCCCUGGGCUGGGGCUGCCCACCAUGUGUGGUGGGGUGAAAGUUGCUUUGGGGAAACACUGGUUAAAAUUGAGGCUGCUGAGGCACCUGGCUGGCUCAGUUGGUGGAGCAUGUGACUCUUGAUCUUGGGGUUGUGAGUUUCAGCCUCAUAUUGGGUGUAGAGAUUAGCCCAAUAAAAUCUUAAAAGCAAAACAAAACAGGGUCUUUGCCAGGUGUGGUGCUGAAUGGGCUAGACAGGUUUACAGGGGAAUGCUGGGGUAGGGCAAGUGGUGUUAUCAGGACAGAUGGAGAGUGUCAGAAUUGGCUCCCACAACCAUCUGGCCAGCUAAGCUGAAAGAAGCAAGAAAAAUGGUGCCCACAAGCAUUUCCCUGACCCUUCAGCACAUACCCUAAAAUUAGUAAAUUUCCUUCAUGUAUAACCCAGGUGCUUUUCAAACUGCUGCCUCUGUGUUGGAUCUCAGACCAAGUGAUACAGUGCUCUGACCCUUUGAGUGGAGUCUUGGUUUCUUAUAGCCUUUUGGCUCUCUUGGAGUUAAGGUAAGCCCCGCUGAUUUUCAGAGGCAGAUUUUAUGGGGGUUUCUUUUCUUUGUGCAGGUGCCGAGCCAGAGGCGCCUGAUGUGGGCCUUGAUUCCCCUUGCUUCUUAGAGAGGACCUCCAUUCCUGUGAUAUCCCUCCUGCUUGUGGGUUGCUGUACCAGGGGUUUGGUUCCUGACUGAGUCUCUGCCCCUUCUACCCUUCUGAAUGUGGCUUUUUCUUUAUUAUCUCUAGCUGUGGAAAAGCUGUUCUGCUAGUCUUCAGGUUGUUUUCAGAGUGACUUGCAUUAAAUGUAGUUGCAGCCUUGGUGUGUCCCUUGAGGGAGGUGAGCUCAGGAUCCUUCUACUCUUCCAUCUUCCUUGCAAUUGGUACCUUUUGUAGUGUAAAAUCAACCGCACUUCUCAAAAAUUAAUACUCCCAUCCCAAGAAACCCAAAUGGCAGAAUAAAAGUUUAUAUGCCACAUGAGAGGGAGUACAGAAAGAAGUGAGAGUGGCAUUUUAAAUUUAAUUAAGAUUCAUUCAGCAGAUAUUUAUUGAGCAACUACUAUGCAUUAGCUUCUGAGCGUGGGCUUGUGGAAAACUUAGAUGAUCUAUUUUCAUACUUUUUUUCCAAGAGUCCUUAAGUCUACAAAACAAACUGCCUGAGUUGGAGGCCGAAGCCUUGCCCAUUCAGAAUCUUUAUCACCUCCCUCUAUCUCCAAUCCCAUACCCACUCAGGAUACCUCAGAUGGUUCUGUGAGUAUCCCUAGUGUUCACUGAAUGGAGUCUGAAAAACUGAUGGUUUAAUGAAUAUUAAUACCAAAGCCUCAUCAUUAUAGUCAUGUGAGGAACAAAUAAUAUGAAAUAUAUUAGAGAUAAGUAUAAAGAUAGGUACUCAGAUGAAGAGAAUCUGGGCUAACAACAGAUAUGUGAUAAAGACAUGAGAAUUUCAGUUGCUUGACAUCUCAGUAUAAACCAGCAAUGUGCUAGGGCUGCCCAAAGAACCUACACAGUUUUACUCUGAAAGAUGGAAAUAUGUGGUCCAGAACAAAGCAGUUGCUUUUUCCACAUCUCCAUUGGUCAAACCACAGUUUAAAAAAAUUUUUUAUGGCUUUAUUGAAGUACAACUGACAUACAAUACAUUGCAUGUAUUUAAAGUGUACAGUUUGGUAAUUUACAUGUAUAUACCCAUGAAACAAUCACCAAAAUCAAGAUAAUAAACAUAUGCAUCACUACAAGUGUCUGUGUACUUCUUUGUAAACCCUUUCUGUUGUUCCCCUAACCCCUCUCCCCUUUAUCCACAGGAAGCUAUUGAUCCGUUUUCUGUCCUAUAGACUAAUUUGCAUUUUCUACAAUUUUAAAUAGAAUCAAACAGUAUGCCCUCUGACUUUUUUUACUCAGCGUAAUUAUUUUGAGAUUUGCCUAUGUUGUGUCACUCAAUAAUUCAUUACUUUUUUAUUGAGUAGUAGUCUUUGUAUGGGUAUGCCACAAUUUCCAUAUCCAUUUACCCAUCAGUGGACAUUCUGGUUGUUUCCACUUUUUGUCUGUAACAAAUACUCCCUUUUUUUAAAAACCCUAUUUAUUUAUUUGGCAGAGAGUGAGAGAGCACAAGCAAGGAGGAGUGGCAGAGGGAGGGAGAAGCAGGCUUCCCGCUGAGCAGGGAGCCUGACACGGGGCUCGAUCCCAGGGCCCUGGGAUCAUGACCUGAGCCGAAGGCAGACGCCCAACCAACUAAGCCACCCAGGCGCCUCUGUAACAAAUACUCUUGUACGAGUGUUUGUAUGGACAUAGGUUUUCAUUUCUUUUAGGUAAAUAGCUAGGAGUGGAAUAGUUGGAUCAUUUGAUAAGUAUAUGUUUAACAUUUUAAGAAACUGCCAAGCUGUUUUCCAAGUGGUUGUACUAUUUUACAUUCUCCCCAGCUGUGUAUGAGAAUUCCAAUUCCUCCUGACUUGUUAUGACUAGUCUUUUCAAUCAGCCAUGCUAAUAGGUAUGUAGUGGUAUAUCUCAUUGUCAUUUUAAUUUGCAUUUACCUAGUGACUAAAGAUGUUCAACAUGUUUUCAUGUACUGCUUUACCAUCUAUAUUUCUUCCUUGAAGAAAGGUCUCUAUAUUUUUCCCAUUGUUUAUCGAGUUCCUUUUGUUUGUAUUUAUUUACAGGUGAUACAAAUUAAGCAUUUACACCAGCCUUAGAAAAAUUUUAAAAAGUCAUAACAAGGUAACAUAUACAUGGAGGAAUAUGAAAAAGGCAUGAAGGACUCAACUCAUAUUGGCUGGUGCCUAAGUCACUUCCAAAACUAAGUGUGCAGACAGUAGUAUGCUAGAGUUGGCUUAAGCUGCCUUAUGAGUGCCAAUUUAAAAAUUUUUAGAAAUUCUGCAGGCUAUUAAACACAGCCGUUAUUAAAAAUUAAUUAUAGGGGCGCCUGGGUGGCUCAGUUGGUUAAGCAACUGCCUUUGGCUCAGGUCAUGAUCUUGGAGUCCCGGGAUCGAGUCCCGCAUCGGACUCCCUGCUCAGCAGGGAGUCUGCUUCUCCCUCUGAUCCUCCCCCUCUCAUGCUGUCUCCCAUUCUCUCUCUCAGAUAAAUAAAUAAAAAAUCUUUAAAAAAAAAUUAUAUAAGCUGACAAUUAUGUUAAAAUUCAAUGUAUCAGUCUCAGUAAAACUCAAAAUUCACUCCCUCAUUUUUACUAUUUUCCAUGUUUUUGUGGUUAUGUCUAUCAUAUCCAUAUAGUAGAAAUCCCGUAUUAUAGUUUGAUAAUUACACAUCUCCUUCCAGUUCUGUGUUCUGUGAUGUCCUGUGGUAGCUUGAAACGAGCCAGUGGGAGUAUUUACCACCCCCAGAUUUGCAGACACCACAAUCAAAACUUUUUUUUUUUUCCUGGUGAGUUGUCAAACAUUUACCAGCUCACCAGUAAUGACAAAGACCUUCAAACUGCACUGACUUACUCUCCAUGAUGAAUAAUUGAAGCUUUAGUCACAUGGAGAACUCCCUUUUGUGAAACAAUUCAAGAACAGAUCAAUAUUUUUGCUGCAGAAUAAAGCUUACAAAACCUAUUUUCCUUGCUGCUCAGGUUUUUUUUUUUUUUUCUCAUUUCCAAGUACCCUGAGGUUGAGAAUGCCAAAGUCUACUGGAUAAGGGAGCAUGCCAAUACAUUAUUUCUGUGGUGACAUGUAAAAAAUACAAAGUAUUUUAUUUGAAGUAGAACUAGAAGGGCUGUUAAAUAUUAAAAAGUGUAAUGGACAAAAAAAUAGGAAAGGCAAACAGCUCUGUAUAACCAAAUUUCUAUUCAUGUAAGAGUAGAGGAAACUAGACUAAAAUGAGAGGGAGCAAAUGAUGAUACAAGAGGAAUGUUUGGUCUAAACACCCAAUCAGCUUUCUAAAGGUGGACAAAGCAUUUUUGUUUUAAGUCUAAACUUACUAAAGAUGCUGGAUAUUAUUAGAAAUGUAAAGUUACAGAUGCAGUAUACUAGAGCAGUCCAGAGAUAAUCAAACUAUGGGGGACAAGUUCGUAGUGCAAAAGAUAGAGCUAAUGCUAUGGUUGAGUGUCCAUUAUGAUUUAAUUUUAAAAACAACUAGGAGAAACUAAGCAUUUUAAAAGGAAAACAAACCAUCUUAAAGUUCAUAGUCUAAAUUAAAAAGGCAUAUACAUUUAAAAUAUAAAAGAAACAUAUACCAUGAACCUUUUUUUUAAAGAUUUGAGAGAGAGAGAGUACAUGUGGGGGGGGGGGGCAGAAGGAGAGGGAAUCCCAAGGAGACUCCCCCCUGAGCACAGAGCCUGACGUGGGGCUCGAUCUCAUGACCCUGAGAUCAUGACCUGAGACGAAACCAAGAGUUGGAGGCUUAACUGACUGAGCCAUCCACAUGCCCUGAUCAUCAUGCAUAUGACUUUCAGUAAGACACUUAUGUCUCACAUGAAAUUCAAAUAGAAGUUAAGAUGUUUGCCUGAUUUUUAGUAAGAUACUAGUACCCUAAAGUACUAAUAGUGGUAACUGUUUAGAGUGAUGCGUACUGAAGAAUAUCAGUUUAGUAUUAAAUUAGAGGGAACAAAUAAUCCUUAAAUCAGUCAAUGCCCAUAUAAUCACUUUACUAAUGGACAAAAUAGAUGGAACUUUCAUCAAAUCAGCAGGUACAGGCUUUAUUUUUUAAAGUAAAAAUGAGGAAAUAUAUAUCCCCAAGGAGGUAACUUCUUUCUCUCUCAAAACUUAAAAUUUUAUAAAGGAGAUUGAAUCAUCUCACAUGAAAAUAAGAAUAUAUGGAACUAAUAGAUGUAAUAGAGAACUGCCUGCUGAACACUUCCACAAUUACAAUGAAAUAAAUCACUGUUUUCUCCCUAACCUUUGUCCUGAUCUCCUAAAUCAGUUCCUCUCCUGACUGAUUUAAGUGGGACUCUAUUUUCUAGUCACCAGGAUUCAUUUUUUUCUUUCACCCUUCUCAUUCCUUACCAGUCUCCAUUUUUACAUCUUUGGAUCUUCAAAUGCAUAUUACACCUUAAAUUUUAUAACAUACAUUUAAAAAAGAUUCUUGUCAUUAUAUUUGUAUAACCACUCUGUGAGUUAAGCAAAAGUUAUUAGCAUUUCAUCAUUCUACUAAAGGCCUCCACAGUGAUGGGCAUGUAAAUAAGCAGAAUCAGACAGGUUAAAUGACUUGCCCAAGUUGACAGGACCAGUAAUUACAAGUCCUGUGAUUCUAAUGUCAGCAUUGUUUUCAUUACACUAUGAUGCCUGUCAUCAACAACUCCUAUUUGGUCCAUUACUAUAGAUUACCAGUGGAGGUCUCUGCCUCUGUUCCUACUUCUUCAGUCUAUUUUGCAUGUCACUAUCAGAUUAAACACAGCUUUUAUUAAAAGACACCACAAUGAAGAAAUUUCCAAUGGCUUCCUAUAUAGAGAAUACAAAUCAGAACUUUAUCUCUGCUUUUAUAUGUGAAAUCUCUAAUCAAACUGGGCUCCUCAUGUUCCUUCAAAUAUUGUGGGGUGCCUGGCUGGCUCAACUGGUUAAGUGUCCACCCUUGGCUCAGGUAUUAUCUCCAGGUCCUGGGGUCAAGCCCCACGUCGGGCUCUCCACUCAUCAGGGAGUCUGCUUCUCCCUCCCCCUCGGCCCCACCCUCCAGCUUGUGUUCUCUAAUAAAUAAAUUUAAAAAUAUCUUUCAAAUAUAUCAUAACUUUCCUGAGACUAUGCCUUUGCUUCUAGCAGUGUUUCCCUUCCUUGAGUUACAAAUCCCUGAGUAACAGUUAUUGCAGGGACCUGGACAUAAAUAAUGUGUGUGUGUGUGUGUAUAUACACACACACUAUUAUGUUUAUUACAUAUUUAUAGUUUAUAUGCUAAACAUGUACAACUACUACCUUGUGGAUUUUGAUAAGAGAGGCAGGGGUAUCCAGUAAAAUUCUUGACAUUAAAAAUGAGUCUUCAGGGGGCACCUGGGUGGCUCAGUUGGGUGGCAGCCUUCAGCUCGGGUUGUGAUCCCAGGGCUCCCUGCUCAGCUUCUCCCUCUCCCUCUGCCUGUCGCUCUGCCUAAUUGUGCUUUCUAUCUCUCUGUCAAAUAAAUAAAAUCUUAAAAAAAAAAAAUGAGUCUUUGAGGCACCUGGCUGGCUCAGUUGGUAGAGCAUAAAACUCUUGAUCUUGGGGUUCUGAGUUCAAGCCCCACAUUGGGUGUAGAGAUUAUUUAAAAAAUAAGAAAAACUUUUUAAAAAUGAGUCGUCUGCAGUUCCACUUCUGGUAAUGAAGAACUAUGUGGGUUUUGAUCAUGCUUUAGCUGAGAACAACUAGAAGAGUGAACCAAGAAAAAGAAAAACACAUUUCUUUAAAGGCACUGAAAAGCUGCCAAACUGGUGAAGAUUGCAGGACCAAGAUCUAGGAGAGGGAGACAUGUUGGAGAGAUGCUUGAAUAUCUGGGGCCUCCUUUCUGCUGGACGCAUCGGUCUUUUCCAAAAACAACUGAGAAGGUAAACAGAUUUUUGCAAGCUCACGGGCCUAGGAAAGGGGGCAGGGAGGUUGAAAAACUGGAGUUGAGGGCUCACCAAGGAAGAGAUAAACAUCUCAGCCUUUCAUUUGAGAUCCUGAAGGGCUGUACCCUAGCAGUCAAAGUGAACUGAAAAUAGAUCAGAACUGGCAGGGAUUGAAUCCUAUCUGGCCCUAACUGGACUGUAGUGAUCUGAGUCUGCUAAAAGCCCCAGUUGAGCUGCCUAACGGAAGCAAAAGAAAUCCUCUCUAGAGGAAAGUACUGCUAUCAAGAGCUUCAAAAUACUUCUGCAAUCUUUUAUAUAUAAUAUCCAGCACACAGAAAAAAUAAUCAGGUAUAUGAGAAGGUACGACAAAAGCAGAGAAGCAACAGAUCAUAGAAACAAACCCAACGGGGAUUAUGAAACAAAGACUUUAAAAUGCUGUUUAAAAUGCUCAGGAACUUAUAAUCUAAGAAUAAGAAUGUGUGUAGAGAAUGAAAACACAAAUGGAAAUUCUAUUGUUCAAAGAUUGCUAACAUUAAAAACCCAGUGGAUGGACUUAAUAGCCAAUUAUACAGAGCUAAAGACAAAAUGAGGGAACUGGAUGAAGUUCAGAAGAAAAUAUUCAGAUUUACAGAAACAAAAGGAUGAAAAUAUGGAAAAAAUUUUUUAAAAAGUGGAAGAGACUUAUGGUAUAGAAUAAAAAAGAAGUUUAAUAUAGUUAUAAUUAAGACCGAAAAGGAGAGGAAUGAGAAAAUAUAACAAAGUGAUACUGAAGAGAUGUCUAAAGUAAGUAAAAGGCAUCAUGCCUUGGAUUCAAGAAACACUGUAAACUAGAAAAAGGCAAAAACCACAGCUAAGCACAUCAUAGUAAAACUGCUGAAAACCAAAGAGAAAAAUUUUAAGCAUCCAGAGGAAAAAGACAAAUUAUCAAAUGAAUGACAGUAAGACCACUGCUUUGCAACCAAAAUGAGCUAUCUUUAGAGUACCAAAGGAAAAUAUCAACUUAGAAUUUACGUUCAAACAAUAUAACUUUCAAAUAUUGAGGCAAAAUAAAGACAUUUUCAAACAAACAGAAACAGAAUUUGUCACCAGCAUUUUUGCCUUAUAAGAAAGAGUGGACCUUGGGCAGAGAAAUGAUCUCAGAUGGAUGCUCUCAGAUUAUGGAAGAGAUGAGCAAUGAGAAGGAAAAAUAUAUAGGUAAAUCUCAAUAAAUAGUAACUUUACAAAACAAUGCUAAUAUAUUGUGAUGUUAAAAACAUACAGAUUUAAAAACGUAACAACACGGUAACUGAGGAGAAGGUAAACAGACUUAAAGUGGUCCAAGCUGUUCCCAUUGUCCAGGAAGUGGAUAAAAUACUAAUAUAUCCUAGGCUUUUAAAAAUCAAGGAUGUACGUUCUAAUUUCCACAGGAAUUAAGAAUAUUAAAAGAACAUAAAACCAAAAAGCUAAACAAAAGGAAACAAUGAAAUUAAAAAAACAAAACUUGAAAAAUCCCCAAGAAAGUAGAGAAAAAAGAAUGAAGAACAGGUGAGACAAAAACAGCUGGAUGGCAGCUUUAAAGCCAAUCUAUCAGUAAUUACAUUAAAUGCAAACUGAUUAUCCCAAUUCAAAGACAAAGACUGUCUUGGACUUAUAAAGGUAUACUUUUAACGUGUUUCAAGAGACAAAUCUUAAAUGGAAUGCAGAAAAGCUUAAAGUAAAAAGAUGUGUAUCAUGCAAAAACUAACAAAGAUGGUGUGAUUAUGCUAAAUCCAAGUAGAUUUUAAGCAAGAAGCAAUACAAGAGAUAAAAAGUUCACAGGCGCCUGGCCGGCUUAGUUGGUAGAGCACGGGACUCUUGAUUUCAGGGUCAUGAGUUCAAGCCCCAUGUUGGUCAUAGAAAAAAAAAAGUUCAUGUGUCCAAGAGUCCUAACAGGAAACAAAUGAUACACUCAGGAUCAUUUAAAAGUUUACUUACAAAGGGACUAAUUACAAAUAUGUGUGUGUAGGGUAUAAGAGAAUUACAAGGAUAGACUCUUAAGAGAAGAGGAAAAAAUCAGAACCAGGAAGGAGAGAGAAUUGUGAAGAGUUCACUUUGAGAGAGGCACUGACCUAAGGUCGAGGUAUACAUCCAGUUCCAGGUAGCCUCUACUGGAGGGAGCCAAAGGGAAUAAAUAUGCUUACCUCAUUCUUUACCACUAUGCAAUCUCCUCCCAUCAGCUACAAAUCAUGGGGUGGUGUCAUUCAGUCCUGAAACCAUAAACAUCAGCCACCCCAGAAGUCUUCAUAUAUGGUAUGGGAGAAAAGAAACAAGUUCCAAAACAGUCUCAUAAAACUGCUUUUUAAGCUGGUCAUGAGGCCUGGAUUCAUAAACAUAGUUCUCUUUCACUAUCCAUUCUUAGUUUCUCUCACUUUUUGCUUGUACCUCACCUGAAUGGGAUUUUUUUUCUUUUUUAAGAUUUUAUUUAUUUGAGAGAGAAGGAGGAGGAGCAAAGGGAGAGAGAGUGGAGAGAAGAGCAGAGGGAGAGGGGGAGAGAGUAUCCUAAGCUGACUUCAUGCUGAGCGUGGAGCCUGAGGCAGGACUCGAUCUCACGACCCUGAGAUCAUGACCUGAGCUGAAAUCAAGAGUCAGAUGCUUAACAGACUGAGCCACCCAGGUACACCCUGAUAGGAUUUUUUACCAGGUGGGGUGCUCCAACGUUCAUUCUUUUUUUUUUUUUAAAGAUUUUUUUUUUUUUUUGACAGAGACAGCGAGAGAGGGAACACAAGCAGGGGAAGUGGGAGAGGAGAAGUAGGCUUCCCGCCGAGCAGGGAGCCCGAUGCGGGGCUUGAUCCCAGGACCCUGAGAUCAUGACCUGAGCUGAAGGCAGUCGCUUAACCAACUGAGCCACCCAGGCACCCUCCAACAUUCAUUCUUACUAGUCCCAGUGGAAGUCCUUUUUGGGUUACCCUAGUUUUUUAUUGGACUACUGGCUGAGAAUACAAACAAUUUCAGAGAAUACUCUUACAUUCCAUAUAUAGUCCUAUUUAUUCCACUGUAUAGCAGUGAUGCAAUUUCCCCGUUAAAAGGGAUCCCAGGGCACCUAGGUGUUGCAGUCAGUUAAGCAUCCGACUCUUGGUUUUGGCUCAGGUUGUGAUCUCAGGAUUGUGGGAUCUAGCCCCAAUUUGGGCUCCAUGCUCAGCGUGGAGUCUGCUUAGGUUUCUCUCUCCCCCCCCCCCCCCGCCCUCCGCUCUAAUAAAUAAAUCUUAAAAAAAAAAAAAAAAAAAAAGAUAAAAGGGAUUCCUCACCCUGCCAGUAGAGUGAUCCCCUUCUUUGUUGGUUAGUGACAGAAAAAGCCCAAACCUGCCGGUAAGCAGUGUCCAUUUCCAAUUCACUGAAACCAUUUUCCUAGGAAGAUUUCCUAGGAAACAUUCCUCUCUUCAAUACUAAGACCUCCAAAACCACUAAGUCCAAAGUUUCAGGGACCAAAAAUUCUUCAAAUGGGUUAUUAGGUAUAAUAGAGAACCCAACAAAAAUGCAUACAUGUGUACACCAAAAGAUGUACACAAGAAUGUUCAUAGUAGCAGUCCUUAUAAUAGCCCCGAAUGGAAAUAUCUCCAGCGGCUAUCAACAGAAUGGGUAAAUGUGGUAUAUUCAUUAAAUGUGGGACAUAUUAGUGUGGAAGCUAAUGAAGUGGGUGCUGAUCACAUAGUUAUCUUCACUUUGUGGUAAGUCAUGCUAAAUAAUUAUAUUUGUGUACUUUUCUAUACUUGUGUUAUGCUUCAAUUAAAAAACUUUAUAAUAAAUGCAUAUAAUAGCCUUCUUGUGUGUAAUGUGUACUUUCUCUGAAUGCUUUUAAGAUGUUUGUCUUUUAUUAGUUUGACUAUAACAUGCAUUGGUGUGAUUUUCACUGUAAUUUUCCUACUUGUGCUUCACUAAGCUGUGUGGAUCUGUAAUGUCAUGCUUUUCACCAAAUUCAGAAAACAUGCGGCCAGUAUUUUUUAAAAAAUUAGACAUGUAUAAAAUAGAGGGGCCAGGCUCAUCUCCACUAUGUGUACUUUCUGGGAAAGAUGGCACUAUAUACUGAUUACUGGGGUUAAGCAUAUACUUUAUUCUGUAGGUCAGCAUCCUAAAUUUGCAGGUUAUUGUCUCCUGGUCGGCCCCGUAAACUGAAUCAGUUUUCCAGUUUGUUCUAAGUUCUUGUCCAGCCCGUCAACUCAUAAGCCACUAACAAUGAACCAGUGUUUACCCUUACCUCAGGCCAUUGUCUUAUAAAGUUCUUCUCAAUGAAAGGAUUUCCCUUUACUGUUGUGUUUCAGGGCCACUAAUGAGUGAUGGUGUUGUAUAGUGAGCACUCACACCCCAGUAUUGCCAACUCACUGCAGAUCCUUUUGUGAAUUAACAAGACCAAGGGGUGCCUGGGGGGCUCAGUCGGUUAAGUGGCUGCCUCCGGCUCACGUCAAUCCCAGGGUCCUGAGAUCGAGUCCCACAUCUGACUCCCUGCUCCACAGGGAGCCUGCUUCUCCCUCUGCCUCUCUCUGUCUCUCAUGAGUAAAUAAAUAUCUUUAAAAAAAGAUUCUUAUUUUUCUCUUCAUUAAUUGGUCAGAGGAACUCUUUUGAAGCCAGUUUGUAUGGACUGGGGGAGAGGUGCUGAAGGAAUAUGGGCAGGUGUUACUCGAAUGAGUCACCUGCUCAUUCAGUUUAGUUGUGAUGGUGUUGCCAGUGUUGUAGGGAGUGGACUGCUGUUGCGCCCAUCCAGUUGUAUGGUUUGGUGAAUCAGGUAACAGCAGUUCAUGAUGGGUAGUUGAUUAUUCACGCAGUCACUUGAUGUCCCAUGGUCAGGUGUUCCAUCUCUACCAGGUACCAGGAGCAAGUCAGGAGCUACUUUUCAACAAAACAAAACAAAACAUUGGUUGAGGAAAAUAGAUCUUUACUCAAAAACCAAGGAAUCGGUGUUGUAAUUCUCCUGUUGGCACUCAUUAGAAGCUUCAUAUAACACCUCUACCACAUGAAGUUCCAAUACCAUUGGAUCUGCCCACUCAUAAGGCCCAACUAGCAAGACAGUUUGCUCUGGGUUCCACUGAAAACUAGUUACCCAGAAAAUAGGUUAGAGGAGGCCACCCAAAUGUUCUAUUUUGUUGUCUCCAGAACUCAAAAAGACCUGCCACAAAUUUUGCCUUUUUCUUUAUUGUGGUGGUGAAAAACACAACAAACUGUCACUCACUUGACUGGAUAACCUAACAUGUCUCAGGCCAUCGGACCCCUAAAAACUUGUGGCAGGUCCUGGAAGUUUUACAGGGUUUUUCUUGCACCUUCUGGCAUGCAUAUGUCUUACCAAAACAUGUAGAGUGCUUACCACUUCCUGCUCAUUGGGUUCAUUUAACAUUCAUUUCUGUAAGACCAGCGUGAUAUUUUGUGACAUAGCAAGAUGAUCAAGGUCCCUUCACACCACAGAACAGAAAGUUGACACAGCCCUGUGACGAGACAGGGCUCACUGUUGUCCUUGCCAGUUAAAUGCGGUCUAUUUCUGACUUCCCUUACUAACUGGAAUGGGGUGUACAGGGCACUUCCAGACCAAAACCUAUAUAUCUUGUCAAAGUGUAUUAAUAAUUAAUUUCCUCCAAUGAAGAUCCCACACCUAGAACAGCAACUACAAUUGGCAUUUCCGCCUGAUCAAACUCUUGCAGUAAUCCAGUCAUUCUUUACUACCCAUCUGGUUUUUACACUGUCAUUCUCUAUGACCCAUCCGGUGACCACAAAGGGAAUUUAAGUGGGAAUGUGGUAUGAAUCACUACUCCAGCAUGGUGGCACUAAUUUCUAUGAGUUCCCCAGGAUGUGGUACUUUUUGUAUAUGGUCAUAGUGUAAGAGUGGUAGCAAGCAGUUAUGAACUUCUACAUGGCCCUUCCUACCAUUAUAGCACUCACUCCAUUGGUCAGGAAACCAAAAUGAAGAUUGCUUCAGUUAUUAAAAUGUAUCUAUUCUUACUACACAUCUAGGACUGGAGAAAUAACCACAAUAUGGGUCUCUCUGGACUCACUGUUACCCAGACUCAGGCCAAGACUACAUCCAUCACUUGACUUUCACAGACCUCCUAUUUUAACCAGUUGUCCAGGAUGGGGUUUUGGGUCUCUAGGUAUCAGUAGAUAUUAAGAGGCAGUAUCUAAAAAGCCUCAGGAGGUCUGAUAUUUUCCUUUCUUCAGUAAAUGGCCACUAGAGAAGGAUUAGGGCAGUGAUCCCCUAACUUCUCACAGGAUUUACCAGGGGAGCUUUAAAAAAUAUCAAUGCCUUGAUCUCACUCCCUGAAAUUAUGAUUUAAUCGGUCUGAAGUGUGUUCUUUAGAAUUCUCAGGUGUUCUAAAGUACAGACAGGUUUGGGAACCACUGGAUAGGGGAAGGUUCAUGGUUAUACAACCAUGGCUGCAUUGCUGGGUUCUUCUUCAAAGGGACCCAGUCUCUCCAUCAUCAAGGAGUUCAAAGGCUUCAAAUUUCACUAUGACAACACAAGUUAGUUUAGAAUUUUCCCACCUAUAUAUGUCAAGCAGCACCUUACUGGGCUACUUAAGCCAUUUCAUUUCUAGGGACUUUGUUAUCAUUUGGUCAUUAUCCCCCUUUCCCCGUAGGUCAAAACAAUCUGAUUAACUUCUCUUCUUUGACUUAUUAUGGUAAUUGUGCGCACCAUGUCUCUGGUGGCUAUAUGCCCAUCAUGUAACCUUUGCCACUUUGGGACUGUAUUAUUCUCUUUGAGAUCAGGAAACAAUUCUACCACAGCAUUCAUCACCAUCAUUCUGACAGAGGACAGACACUUCAGAGCUCUUUGGGAAUGCUGAUGCUCCUAUCACCAAAGUGUUUCUUAAUGACUUGGUGAAAAGUGAGAAUAUCUACGGAGUCUUUGUAUUCCCUCCUCUACAGUAUGCCAGGGUAUUUCUGGCAUUUUGAAAUUAUUAUUUCAAAUUUCAUUUGUAGGCCAUUUAUUACUUGUAACCUGUUACUGAGCCCAUGCCUCAUCCUAGCAAACUAUUAAUGCCAGUAUAUUAGAUGUUGACUCUCAGGUGAGUACACCCGUGCCAAUAAAUUUGCCAUAAGUAAAGCCUUAUAUUUAUUCCCCCUUGGUGUAAUAUCCUUAGAACCCACUUCUAUAGAUACUUCUCGGGCUCCUGCUCAUCAAAACGGCAAGGUCUUUAACUUCUGUGUAGCUUAUCUCUUGCCAGAGCAGGCCACAUACUUCUCUGACUAGUAUGUCUUGAGAUUUAACUGGGGAUACUGUGAGGUGGUGAAGGUAAGUUCUGAGAACAGGUAUCAGCUUAGGAGAGAGCUGUCCCAAGUGCAAUCACUGAAAGCCUCUACGUAGGGGAGGCUAGUUUCCUCAGAGAGCAAAGGAAGUUCAGAGGAUAUGCAGGGUCAGAGUUCUCAGCUUCAUUCUUGUCUGCCCAAAAGUCCACAUUCUAUGUCUGGGCUCCACAUCUUCCUCACCAGUGCUCCACCCUUAGAGUAAGAAAACCAGAAGAACUGAGCAUAUAAUUGGUACUACAAAUCUACCUUAUCUGCCCACUGAUUAUAGGAGAUAAAGGACUCCUUCAAAGCUGCAGUGGAGGGGUUUUGACUCUCCAUACAUUCUUAAUUGUAUUUUCAUAGUUUUUACCUUCUUCUGUGUACAUCCUGUUUAGGAUCAUAAGAGAAGCCUGGUGGAUCCACAAUUUUAAAUUACUAUGGUUAUCACAGCGAUACUUUCUCCUUACCUUCAUUCUAUCCCAUGCUAUUAUAAUGGUAAUCAAAAUAGUACUGUAAGGCAUGGGUCUCCUGUGGUCCCUUUGUCUAUAGCAAUGAGGUUAUCCCUGUGAUUGAUUUUAUUGUGUGUGUGUGUGUGUGUGUAUUUAAUUCAAUCUCAGUGGGUCCAUCUCCUGUAAUAACUCUGGUACCAAUUACUCUACCAGGGUUACAAAAAGAAAUAGAAGGCACACUCAAAAUAAUUUAAGAAUGAAGAAGAUUGGUGAAACAUGUUACAUUAAAAUCAAGAACUUUGUUUUUUCAAAAGAUGCCAUGGAGAAAAUGAAAUGACAAGCCAUGCUAUAGGAAAGGAUAUUUGGUCAAGAACUCACAUCCAGAAUAUAUAAAGAAGUCCUAAAAAUCAGUAAGAAAAUGACCGACAACCCAACAGACAUAUGGGCAAGUGACUUGAACAAGCACUUCAAAAAAGAACUCUCCAAAGGGCAAAUAACAUAAAAUGGUGCUCAACCUCAGUAUUCAUCAGGAACAUGCAAAUUAUGCCCAAAUGAAAUGCCACUACACACUCAUCAGAAUGGCUAACGUUAAAAAGUGACGAUACCAAGUGUUGCCCAGGGUGUGGAGAACAUGAAACUUUCAUAUACUGUUGGUGGGGAUAUAAAUAACAAACUUUGGAAAACUGUCAUUCUUUAUAAAAUGUGCACACACCUUAUGACCAAGGAAUUUUAAUUAUAAGUAUUCUCUCAAAAGAAAUGUCUUCCCAUGCAUACCAAGAGACACAGAAUGUUCAUGGCAUCAUUACUGGUUAAUAGCCCCAAUGCAGAAACAACCCAAACAUCAACAAUAGAAUGGAUAUAUUUGGUUCCUUCAUAUAAUGGAAUAUAGCAAUGAAUAUGAACUACUUCUACAAACAAUAUAGAUGAAUCUCACAUAUAUAUAAAAUACACACUUAAUCUCAUUUAUGUAAGAUUGAAAACCAGGCAAAACUGGUCUAUGGUUAGAAGCUGGGAGAGUGAUUAUAUUGGGGAGGAGGGGCUGGACAGUUAUUGAGAGGUUGCCUAAGAGGGUUUCUAUGUAACCAGUAAUACUCUAUUUUCUGGGUGGUAGAACAGUGGUAUGUUUACUUUAUGAUAGGUAGUUCAUUUAUUUCUGUGGUAUGCUAUAUUUCAAUUUUUUAAAAGGGUGGGCCUAAAAAGAUUGGAACUAUUUGUUUAUGCCCCCCUUGCCCCUCUCCAUUAAUUCAAAUACUUCUUCCUUCAAGGUCCAGUUCCAAUUCCAUAUUUUACAUGAAGCCCAACCACUCCAGGUAGAAGCAAUUUAUCUUUCUACAUGGUUUUUACAUCUUCUGGGAAGUAGUAUAACACAGUAGAAAUAGUAUGGGCUAAAGGGUUUGGGCUUUAAUCUGUGAGGCAAUUAAAAGUAGGAGAGUGAGAGUGACAUGGUCAUUUUUGGAUCUGCCCAUCAUGAACUUGUUUAACCAAUUUUACUUAUUUUUAAAAAUAUUUAUUUAUUGAGGGGAGAGGGGCAGAGGGAAAGGGGGAGAAAAUCUCAAGCAGACUCCCCCCUGAAUGCAGAGACCAACAUAGGGCUCAAUCCCAUGACCCAUGAGAUCAUGACCUGAGCUCAGACCAAGAGUCAGACACUCAACCAACUGAGCCACCCAGGCACCCCACCAAUUUUACUUAUAUUUCUUCGAAUACGUGGACAAAUAUAAAACUUUACAUAUACAUAUAUCAUAUGAUAGACUGUUAUAAUAUUUGCUCCCAACGAAUCAUGCCACCUUUGUUCAUGCUUUUUUGCAGUGUGCCUUUGCAGGAAUAGAUAACUUUUAGGGAAAAAGAAGUCCCCUUUCCUUUUUUACCUAGCUCACCAAAGUCUGUUGUAGCAAAAACUACUAUUGUCUCUCAAUAUCCUUUCUUCUCUUCUUACCCCCAAUUUUAGCUUUGGAAACUGCCACAUAACUAAGGACUAUAUCUCCUAGUCUCCCUUGAAAGUGUGGCCAUAUGACUACAUUCUGACUGAUGGGCUAUAAGUGGAAAUGAUGGCUGCAACUUUUUUUUUUUUUUAAUUUUAUUAUGUUAUGUUAGUCACCAUACAAUACAUCAUUAGUUUUUGAUGUAAUGUUCCAUGAUUCAUUGUUUGCGUAUAACACCCAGUGCUCCAUUCAAUACAUGCCCUCUUUAAUACCCAUCACCAGGCUAACCCAUCCCCAACCCCUCCCCUCUAGAACCCUCAGUUUGUUUCUCAGAGUCCAUAGUCUCUCAUGGUUCAUCUCUCCCUCCGAUUUCCCUCCCUUCGUUUUUCCCUUCCUUCUCCUAUGUCCUCCAUGCUAUUCCUUAUGUUCCACAAAUAAGUGAAACCAUAUGAUAAUUGACUUUCUCUGCUUGACUUCUUUCACUUAGCAUAAUCUCCUCCAGUCCCAUCCAUGUUGAUGUAAAAGUUGGGUAUUCAUCCUUUCUGAUGGCUGAGUAAUAUUCCAUUGUAUAUAUGGACCACAUCUUCUUUAUCCAUUCAUCUGUUGAAGGGCAUCUCGGCUCUUUCCACAGUUUGGCUAUUGUGGACAUUGCUGCUAUGAACAUUGGGGUGCAUAUGGCCCUUCUUUUCACUACAUCUGUUUGGGCUGCAACUUCUAUGGCAUGUCCUUAAGAGGAAAAGGUAGACAGAACAAAAGGUAUUUGUAGUUUAAAAAAAUUUAACACAGGUUGCCAGGCUGCUUUGCAAAUAGGUUGAAAAAGUUCACCUUUCUACCAGCAAUGUAAAACAAUACCUUUCACCUGGAUCCUCACUAGCAAGAGGUCAUUUAAAAUUUUGCCCAGUGUGAGAAGAUGUUUCACCUCACUCAUAACAGGAGAAAUGCAUAAUAAGACUAUACUAAGAUUAAACAUUUUCACUUUUCAGUCUCAAAUCCAAAAGUUUGGUCACAUACUCUAAUGACAAUGCUAUACAUUCUCAAUUGUUCUUUAUACAACAUCUAUGGAGGGAAAUUUGGCAGUAUCAUCCAAAUUCACAAGAAAUAAAUGCUGGUGUGAAUGCAGAGAAAAGGUAACCUUCAUGCACUGUUGGUGGGAAUAUAAAUAGGUACAGCCACUAUGGCAAACAGUAUGGAAGUUCCUCAAAAACUUAAAAAUAGAACUACCAUAUGACCUAGCAAUUACACUUCUGGGUAUUUAUUCAAAGAAAAUGAAAAUGCUCCAAAAAAUAUAUGCACCCCCAUGUUCACUGCAGCAUUAUUUACAAUAGCCAAGAUAUGGAAACAACCUAAGUGCACAUUGAAAAGUGAAUGGAUAAGGGAAAUUAGUAUAUAUGGAAUGAAUACGUCAUGGAAAUAAAAGCCAAAGCAUAAGGAAUAUCGUCAAUGAUAUUGUAAAAGCAUUGUAUGCUGACAGAUGGUAGCUACACUUGUAGUGAGCAUAGCAUAAUGUACAAACUUGUCGAAUAAUUAUGUUGUACACCUGAAACUCAUGUAACAUUGUGUCAACUAUACCCAAAAAUAGUAAAAAAAAAAAAAAAAAGAAAAGAAAAAAAAAGAAAAAUACAUGAUUGAAUUUUAGAGGGGAAAAAAAGAAAGGAGAUGUAGUAUAUAUGUACAAUGAAGUAUCAUUCAGCCAUGAAAAAGAAUGAAAUCCCACUAUAUCCAACAUAGAUGGACCUCAAGGGCAGUAUGUUACAUGAACUAAGUAAGAUUGAUUAAAGACAAAUACCACAUGAUCUCAUUUAUAUGU